rnacentral:rRNA from 1 species
GUCCACGCUGUAAACGAUGUUCACUAGGUGUAGGGGGUAUCGACCCCCUCUGUGCCGAAGCUAACGUGUUAAGUGAACCGCCUGGGGAGUACGGCCGCAAGGCUAAAACUCAAAGGAAUUGACGGGGGCCCGCACAAGCAGUGGAUCAUGUGGUUUAAUUCGACGAUACGCGAAAAACCUUACCACAUCUUGACAUCCGCCGAAUCCUGUAGAAGUACAGGAGUGCCUUCGGGAACGGCGAGACAGGUGGUGCAUGGCUGUCGU